GUCAGAGGUCAGCUCCGCCCCUGAGACACACACAUCCACUCGUUAACCCCUUCCAGACACGUCCAGCCACGGGUCAGAGGUCAGCUCCGCCCCUGAGACACACACAUCCACUCGUUAACCCCUUCCAGACACGUCCAGCCGCGGGUCAGAGGUCAGCUCCGCCCCUGAGACACACACAUCCACUCAUUAACCCCUUCCAGACACGUCCAGCCGAGGGUCAGAGGUCAGCUCCGCCCCUGAGACACACACAUCUGCUCAUUAACCCCUUCCAGACACGUCCAGCCGCGGGUCAGAGGUCAGCUCUGU